UUCACUGGGGUAAAAAUACAGAUUUUAAUACCCGUCUUAUUUUAGUUCUAAGACUUGGCAAUUGCCAGGUAUCAUCUUUUCGAUUUACCCAGGUCCACCGCCGAGGCCACAAGGGAGAUUUCUUCCAGAGAGAGGAUAGAGUUAUUAAGUCUAAAGUCCAUUAUUUGCUUUUGUCCUUCAGGAAGAGAUGGUCCUGACUCUGGGUGGAUCUAACAAGGAUCCUGGAACUCCAGGGGUAUGGCUUAAUUCUUAGCGGAUUCGAUCCUGGCUUUAAAUCAAGUCUCACAGGUUCUGCUUUUUGGAUUUACCGGGAACUUCCCAGUCCAGACGAUUGGAAUUACAGCAUUAUACUUUGACUGGUAUGAUCUUCUGCUUUCGGUAACCAUCCUGUAACAACAAAGCCACCGCUUCGAUACGUUUAGUUUCUGGAAUUAAAAUUUUAAUCUCUCCAUUUUUUAAUUUAAUUUCUGCCUCUAAGUUCUCCAGGAGAUCUCCCCUUAACAGGAGUUUAGGAGAAUUUGGCACAUACAAAAACUGCCGAGUGACCCGUUGCUUUCCUAAUUUCAUUGUUAAAGAUUUAAAGAAGGGUCUAGUUUCUCGUUCACUUGUUGCACCACCACCACCAAUUUCUUCAAAACUUAACUCUCCCUCUAAGGUAUUUAAAACUGAAAAGGUGACUCUAGCGUCAAUUCAAAUUCAAUUUUCUGUUCUCCCAGUUUAGCUGUAACCAGAGCUUCUGCUGGGAGACUCCCCUCCGGUCCCCGUCAGCUACGUUCACUUAAAAAGAACAAAUCUACCUAUGGCACUUCAUUCCAUUUACUCUCUCUCCUACAAAACAACAGUAAUUGCAAUAUAGUAUUAUAACUCAAAGUUCUGUUUGUUUCCCAUUUUUCCUGCAAUUCACCCCGGUGUGCCAAUAAACAUCCCAACGGUGAUGUUUUUGGUAUCUUUUCAUCAGCAGUUCUAUUUCCUGCACUCUUAUUCUUAAACAAUUUUGCUAAUGCCAUUAUACUUAUAUACAUUCAAAUC